UGAUGGGAGCGUGAUGUCAGGUAUGAACCCCUACGGCUGUACAAAGUUAAGAGGCAGAACUGAAGUGUCUAGAUGGCUCACACCAUCUCCAUGGUGGUCUCUGGGGCUCACCAUCAGCUCCCAGCUGGUGGCAACUCCCUCAUCAGCUGUAAAUGCUGUGGUUUCUUCAGCCUUUAGGAGACGGAGAAGCUAAAGCAUGUUAAAAUGAAAAGCCAGUGCUGAUGGAGCCUACCACCAACUCUUCUGCUGUCAGUGGGAGUUACAUAUCAGGUUCCUGUUGAAUCUGUUUGGAACUGGAGCUAGGCUUAAUCUCUAUCAGGAAAGGCUGCCGGAUCCUGGGGGGGGGUGAGAUGUCAGCAUCGAGGCUGCAGGUGGAUCUGCUGGGGCUCAGCCCUGCUCAUCUGGAGGAGCAGCCACACGGUUUGCAGUUUGCAUCAGGAUGUUUGCUGAACCCUGUGCUCAUUAUGGUGGGCUAAGUCAGCUGAUCAGUGUUUCACACAAUGGAGACUUGUAAGAAAAUCUUCAAGUUGGCUUGCUACAGUGAAGUGAAACCAUUCCAGACAAUGCAUUAUGAAGAGUUUCCAUACACUAGAUUUCACUUGGUUGCAAAAAGUAGCUCUGGAGUACGCUUUCUGCUUUAAAUUCCAGAGCAAGCUCUGUCAUUGCUUGUUAAUUUCAAUAGGAUAUGAGCAUGAACAGAAAGAAAGUUUAAUCUCUUUGUGAGCGAUAGAGAAUGGCUGAUUUAAAAGCAAAACCAAACAAAAAUAGAAAACAACACUUCCCAGCCAAAAUUCAGAAUGUUCAGUUAAGCCAUUCCUGGAAAAUAUUGACAAAUCUAAAAAAUACUGACAGAUCAUAAUGUGGAAAGAUGAAAAAUCAGUGGGAUUACUCAUAAAAUAGAUGCUAGUGCAAGGAUUUAAUUUAGUCAGAAAAAUGAGUCUCAAUCUCUGAAGAUACUUUGGUAGCCUAUCUCUGUUGGAUUAAUGAGAAGUAGAAGCAUGAAGUUGAUUUAGACAUCUUGCAGUAUUGGGAUGCUUAUGAACUUAUGAUUUAGUAAUCUUUGGAUAUCUCCAGACAAUUUAGUUUAAUGGAUUUUUUUUCCCUGAAUAUCUUUGAGUCCUAGAAACAUUAUUCUUUUGAAAUUGUUCUUCACCUAAGCCUCUGAUAUAAAAAUAAAUGAAAAUGUACCUUCUGGUACUCUCUUUAAAUCUUUACUAUAAGAAUGAGUUAUUACACAAUUUUAAAGCCUAGUUUAGUGUGUAAAUUAUGGGGCUGAAUGGUGUUUCUGUGUUUGUCAAGUACUCUGUUCGUUGCCUGGUAAACAAAAAGUAUAGGAAAAUAAUAGUUCAGAAACAAAGAGAAAUAGAUAAAAUGGAAAAUGCUUCAGAUUACCUAUACGAUCUUAUGUGAUUACAAAAAUCUUUCUUUCUAAAUAUUAUAUUCUUGUUACAGGUAAAAAGACCACAUUAAGGGGAGCUGUAGGCAACCUAUAAUGUUUUCUUUUACUAAUACCUAUUUGUCCGUAUACAUUUCAUUAAACGUUCCUAAGGCACAGGCAGUCUGAAACAGCAAAUCUGAAAAAAAGGUUGCCUUACGGCUCAAACAGACAAGCUGAUAAAGUUCAUCUUACUUGUGUAACUAUGCAAUUGUAAGUUUUUCAGAUGACUUAAGAUAAAACCACAAUCUGCAUGUUCUCUGUGUUCAAGUUCUAUACUUGACAAGUAUGCCAUGCUAGCCUAGGACCUCCAACAGGAAUAGCACCACUAAAAUCGAGGAAUUGCUGCACAGCAAGGUUGUGAUGAUUUUGCUUUUGCACUGCUCCUACUGGCACCAAUGUUGCUAGAUCCACCCUUAAAAUCUUUAGAAAUUAGAUGAAAAAAUAUCAAAACAAUCUCACAUCAUACAGUCAGUGUUUUUGCAGGAGGUAGGAUAUUUAUUUUUACCUAGCUAAUCAAUGCUGAACAUUUUAGUUUGUAAUUCUGUAAAAGUAAUUGCCAGAGCAUUGCUGCUGCUGAAACAAGAUCCUAAGAUGUAUAUAAUACCUUCCAAAUUGCAGCUAGAAACCUUCAAACUUAAUAAAGGCUCUGAUUGUAAAAAUACAUGGCUGCUGCAAAUCAGUGAUGUUUCCUACAAAUACUUAAUUUGUAUGCUGUGUUUUUGCAAAAAGAGUUAGUGGAAGGUCAACUUAAUUUCAUAAAGUUUUAUCUAAGACCUUUUUGUGAUCUUCAGCUCCAUAGAUUGUAUAUCAUUUUAGUAGAGUUCAGCUUCUGCAAUAAAAAUAAAUAAAUAAUAA